rnacentral:snRNA from 1 species
AGCUUUGCACAGUGGCAGUAUCGUAGCCAAUGAGGUUUAUCCGAGGUGCAAUUAUUGCUAAUUGUACCCUUUACGCUUAGGAAAGUAAGAAUAGUACCUGACCCACAGGAGACAUUUAAUAAUCAAUAUUAAAUAACAAGUGAGUUAUACAUCGCUGUUAAACUCUAAUUUUUUUCCUGGAAAAUGAUCU